rnacentral:lncRNA from 1 species
UCAGCCGCUGCGCUUGGUGUCAGCUGCGGUGGGUCCGGCUGGGAUCUCUGCAGGAAACUUCACUCACUCCAGUACCUCUUUCCACCCUCUGCUUGUCUUCUGCAAACGCAUCUGCGGCCAUAAAUCCCAUCCUUGUCAUCCAUCCGGACGUGACCUGAUCCUUUGGUGCUGACUUGGAAGGAGCAGAGUUUGGUUGCUGGGACAGAUAAGGGACAAGAUUGCGAUUACCUCAAAUAAACGAGCAGGUCUUAAAACGAGACAUGGGGACAGCAGGGGUGGGAAGAUUUGGGUUUGCAGAUAAGCACAGAGUAUAGCGCGUAUACACUGACAAAAGCGCGUUUUGCAGAUGUAAAAGGAAUGUGGAAGGGUGUGGCCGCCGAGCCCGCUGUGGCAACUGCCUAGCUGAGUGGGAGGGUUCUGCUUGUGGUGUUUAUAGCUUGUCAAUAGUUUGUAACGCGAUAUUCUUUGUGACGUGUGCUCAGACUGGAUGUAAGAGGUGGCUAAUCAGAUGAAGAAAUGGCCAGCUGUACUCUUAAAAUUGUUUUCAUUUCCACACCUGGAUGUUUUAAUACCAACUACUCUUGAGAGCCGAGAGGCUUACAUUUUCUGACUUUGGGCUAUAUUCUCCACACUUUUUACUACUUGUGGGGAAUACGUAUUGUGUAAGUGGCCCUUCUGAGCGUUCGGGGGAGAGGGCAGUCAUAUUAUCCAGCCUUGGUUUUUUUGUUUCCUUACUUCUGGGAUAACAGGUGUACACCACCAAGUACAACUCCUCUGAGCUUUUUCAUAAGAUCAUGUCUAUCAUUCAUUCAAAAAUUUCUCUAAAAAAAAUUACGUAUAUAUGUGUACUUGAAUACAGGGCCAGAGAGGUUGUUGGAUCCCAUGGAACUAAAGUCACAGGCAGUUGUGAGCUGCCUGAUUUGGGUGCUAGGAGCUUACACUGAUCUUUUCCAAGAGCAGCAAGUGCUUUUGGCCUGGCUCUACCAUCACCUUCCUUCCUUCCUUUUGUCCCAAGACUGGAUUUCAGUUCAUUUGUGGUGUUUCUCCACCAGCCUUCUAAGUGCUGCUAUCAUAGGUCUGAGCCACUGCAUCCAGCUCUUGACGUUUUUAUGCUGUGGCCUUGUUUUCCGGACCUUGAUCCAGAUGUUUGUGGCUGGCAUAAUUUGUGGCUUAGGAGUGCUCAGGUUGCACUCCUUUGCAACUCUGUGAUGAGAUGGGUUUGGUUACUAAGUGUUUCUGUGUGCUGAAUGCUUUUAUGAAGUCUUCAAUUAAAAGUAUAAGUGCACCAAG